AUACACGGGGAGGCGACGCUAUCCUGGCCGCCAAGGAACGUCCCAACUUUCAGGUCGCAGGGAAGCCCUCCCUCCUCUCUGGCACUACAGCCCGCUAGGGAGGCGCCAGGUGCCUUAGCUCUGAAGACUAGUCUAGAAAGAGAGGCUGCAGGACCCGGGCUGGGAAGCGCGCAGACCCCGCAGUGAGGCCCAAGGAAAGGAGGGACGCGACCCCGCAAGAGGCCUAGCGCCAUGAAGUGCAAACGGCUGUCCACUGCGCCGAAUAGCUGGAGACUCGCUGGCCUGCGGCCAAUGCGCUCCCCGGCAGGAUUCGAGGACACGUCCUCGCUAAGUGUGCUGGGAGUACAAAGUUCAGUACCAUAAGGGUUGUGCCUAGCCAAGUCUACUGGGGGAGACAGAGAAGCCAUCCCUGAUCACAGGAAGAAACGGAGCCCGUUUCCCAAAGCCCAGGUCUGCUGCCGGGCUCGUGACCUUGGCCAAAUAGAGUAACUGAGCCCUCUGACGACAGUGGCCCAGCGGUUAGACGUAUGACCCAGAGCCCAUCGCGCGUCUUCCUCUGGAAUUAAUCCACAGAAGCAGGGAAUGAGGGAGAAUUCUUAGUGCUCGGGUUGCUUAGCAGGUGCAGCCAUAUUUUUUGUCAUGUGGAGAAGACACUUCUUCAGUAAGGAGAAUCAAACCAACAGAGAAAGAAAAGCAAAGGCAACUAGAAAAUGUUGAAUUGCUGCUUCCAGAGGCUCUAAUUCCAGAAGCUCCAUGAGUUCCAUGACCCACCUGGCUAGUCAAGCCAA